AACGAACGCUGGCGGCAGGCCUAACACAUGCAAGUCGAACGCCCUAGCAAUAGGGAGUGGCAGACGGGUGAGUAACACGUGGGAACCUUCCCUAUAGUACGGAAUAGCCCAGGGAAACUUGGAGUAAUACCGUAUACGCCCGAGAGGGGAAAGAUUUAUCGCUAUAGGAUGGGACCGCGUCGGAUUAGCUAGUUGGUGAGGUAAUGGCUCACCAAGGCAACGAUCCGUAGCUGGUUUGAGAGAAUGACCAGCCACACUGGGACUGAGACACGGCCCAGACUCCUACGGGAGGCAGCAGUGGGGAAUCUUGGACAAUGGGCGCAAGCCUGAUCCAGCCAUGCCGCGUGAGUGAUGAAGGCCUUAGGGUUGUAAAGCUCUUUUGGCGGGGACGAUAAUGACGGUACCCGCAGAAUAAGUCCCGGCUAACUUCGUGCCAGCCGCCGCCGUAA
rnacentral:rRNA from 1 species